rnacentral:rRNA from 1 species
UACGGAGGGUGCAAGCGUUGUUCGGAUUUAUUGGGCGUAAAGGGCGUGUAGGCGGUUCGUUAAGUCUGAUGUGAAAGCCCCGGGCUCAACCCGGGAAGUGCAUUGGAAACUGGCGAACUUGAGUACGGGAGAGGGCAGUGGAAUUCCUAGUGUAGGAGUGAAAUGCGUAGAUAUUGGGAGGAACACCAGUGGCGAAGGCGGCUCACUGGACCGGUUCUGACGCUGAGGCGCGAAAGCGUGGGGAGCAAACGGG